AAUGAUCCUAGCAUCAAAGCAUUAGCUGAACAGAUAGCAAAAGAUCCUUCAUUCAACCAGAUGGCCGAGCAGCUUCAACAAUUUCAGAGUCCACCAGCUCAAGAAGGAAUCCAGUUCGAUCCUCAACAAUACUUUUCCACCAUGCAACAAGUCAUGCAGAAUCCUCAUUUUAUGUCUAUGGCAGAGCGUCUUGGUAGCACAUUAAUGCAGG
rnacentral:misc_RNA from 1 species